GACGAACGCUGGCGGCGUGCCUAAUACAUGCAAGUCGAACGCACAGUUUAUACCGUAGCUUGCUACACCAUAGACGGUGAGUUGCGAACGGGUGAGUAACGCGUAGGUAACCUGACUGGGAGCGGGUGGUAACUAUUGGAAACGAUAGCUAAUACAUCAUAAUAUUAAUUAUUGCUUGAUAAUUAAUUGAAAGGUGCAAUUUCACAGCUACCAGAUGGCCCUACGUUGUAUUAGCUAGUAGGUGAGGUAACGGAUCACCUAGGCGACGAUACAUAGCCGACCUGGGAGGGUGAUCGGCCACACUGGGACUGAGACACGGCCCAGACUCCUACGGGAGGCAGCAGUAGGGAAUCUUCGGCAAUGGACGAAAGUCUGACCGAGCAACGCCGCGGGAGUGAAGAAGGGUUUCGGAUCGUAAAGCUCGGUUGUAAGAGAAGAACGGGUGUGGGAGUGGAAAGUUCACACUGUGACGGUAUCUUACCAGAAAGAGACGGCUAACUACGUG
rnacentral:rRNA from 1 species